rnacentral:rRNA from 1 species
GACGAACGCUGGCGGCGUGCUUAACACAUGCAAGUCGAACGGAAAGGCCCUGCUUUUGUGGGGUGCUCGAGUGGCGAACGGGUGCGUAACACGUGAGUAACCUGCCCUUGACUUUGGGAUAACUUCAGGAAACUGGGGCUAAUCCCGGAUAGCAGAUCCUGCUGCAUGGUGGGGGUUGGAAAGUUUCGGCGGUUGGGGAUGGACUCGCGGCUUAUCAGCUUGUUGGUGGGGUAGUGGCUUACCCAGGCUGUGAAGGGUAGCCGGCCUGAGAGGGUGGCCGGGCACAUUGGGACUGAGAGACGGCCCAGACGCCAACGGGAGGCAGCAGUGGGGAAUAUUGUACAAUGGGCGGAAGUGUGAUGCAGCAACGCCGCGUUCGGGAUGACGGCCUUCGGGGUGUAAACCGCUGUCGCCUGUGACGAAGCGGGAGUGACGGUAAUGGGUAAAGAAGCACCGGCUAACUACGUG